GAGAUAUUAAAAAAAUUAAUCAAUUAAACUUCAAUUAUAUUUGGAAAAAUAAAGUCCAUUAUAUAAAAAAAUCUGAAAUUGUCAAAGAAUACGAGGAUGGUGGCCUACAAGCAAUUGAUUUUGAAUGUCUAAAUAUUGUCCUAAAAAUGAAAUGGCUGAAGUCCUUCAUAACAGAGAAGAACAGUGUAUGGUUUUGUCUGUCCAGGGGGUUAUUUGAGAAAAUAGGAGGUAUUGAGUUUGUCCUUGCAUGCGACUUUAAUAUUGAGAAACUUCCAAUUAAGUUGUCAUCUUUUCACAAGCAAGUUCUGUUAAGCUGGAAACUUAUGUACAACCACAAUUUUACUCCGCAUCAAACACCAAUAUGGAAUAACAGAUAUGUGUUGUGUAAUAGAAAAUCUUUGUUUUUGCAACAUUGGAUGGAUAAAGGAGUGUGGUCCCUACGCCACCUAAUGGACAGACAGGGUAAUUGGUUAUCAUACGAGAACUUCAUCUCCACUUACAAUAUAACAUGCAAAAGAACUGAAUUUAAAAAAAUAUGCAAAGCUAUUCCCCAAUCUGUUAAACAAUUAAUUGAAAAUACUGAUUUGAGGAGUUUACCUCCUCCUAAAUUAGCAACACUAUAUAUCAAUGAGCAAGAUUUUAUGGGAAAAGAGAUACCAAACAAAACUAUGCGAAAAUGUCUGAAUGAUCACUUUUAUCCAAUCAAAUCUAACAGGAACUCAAUUGUUCAAAAAUUUUCAAAAGAACAGAUUAAAAAUAUAAGAACUAAAUAUUUAAAAUUUCCCGUCAGUCCAAAAACUAAGGAAGUUCAUUUCAAAAUUUUGAAUGCGAUAUAUCCAUCCAGUGAGCUUCUUAGAGUAAGGUUUGGUAUAGAAUAUAACAAUUGUACUUUCUGUGACUCAGACAUUGAAACCACUGAACAUCUGUUUUAUCAAUGUAUGUACACAAGCACAUUUUGGGAAGACUUUAUGGACUGGUUAUCUUCGAAAAUCCAGCUGCAGCAGGACUCUCUUACAUUGGACAAUAUAAUUUUUGGGAUUUCCCUGAAGGACUCACAGACAGACUAUGCUUUGAACAAUUUAUUAAUCCUUUCGAAGUAUUUUAUUCAUUCUUGCAAAUGGAAAAAAGUCAAGCCUAUUUUCACAGUGUUUAAGAGACAACUUGAAGGAAACUAUCUGAUAUCUUUAAAAUGUAUGAAAUGUAAAUCUGCACUAUCUCUUCUUAAUGUAUUUGACAAUCUGAAUGUUUUUGAAGAAAACCUCUAACGGAAACUGCUUAGUGUGAG
rnacentral:lncRNA from 1 species